rnacentral:rRNA from 1 species
UACGUAGGUGGCGAGCGUUGUCCGGAUUUACUGGGCGUAAAGAGCGCGCAGGCGGUCGUCCAAGUCGCGUGUGAAAGCCCCCGGCUCAACUGGGGAGGGUCACGCGAUACUGGUCGACUCGAAGGCAGGAGAGGGUAGUGGAAUUCCCGGUGUAGUGGUGAAAUGCGUAGAUAUCGGGAGGAACACCAGUGGCGAAGGCGGCCUGCUGGGACAGUGCUGACGCUGAGGCGCGACAGCGUGGGGGAGCAAACAGG